GACGAACGCUGGCGGCGUGCCUAAUACAUGCAAGUCGAACGCAGUGGGGACAGGUUAGUAACACGUGGGUAACCUCCCGUCAGAGGGGAUAACACUUGGAAACAGGUGCUAAACCGAUACUGAUGGAUGAACCCGCGGGGCAUUAGCUAGUUGGUGGGGUAACGGCUCACCAGGGCCACGAUGCCUAGCCGACCUGAGAGGGUGAUCGGCCACACUGGGACUGAGACACGGCCCAGACUCCUACGGGAGGCAGCAGUAGGGAAUCUUGGGCAAUGGACGAAAGUCUGAUCGAGCAAUGCCGCGUGAGUGAAGAAGGUUUUCGGAUCGUAAAGUUCUGUCGUUAGAGAGGCGGUACCUAACCAGAAAGCACCGGCUAACUCCGUGCCAGCCGCCGCGGUAAUAC
rnacentral:rRNA from 1 species